rnacentral:rRNA from 1 species
UACGUAGGGGGCAAGCGUUGUCCGGAAUCAUUGGGCGUAAAGCGCGUGUAGGCGGCUUGGUAAGUCUGCUCUGAAAGCCCGGGGCUCAACCCUGGGAGGCGGGUGGAUACUGCUGAGCUCGAGUCCGGAAGAGGCGAGUGGAAUUCCUGGUGUAGCGGUGAAAUGCGCAGAUAUCAGGAGGAACACCGGUGGCGAAGGCGGCUUGCUGGGCCUUACCUGACGCUGAGGCGCGAAAGCUAGGGUAGCAAACGGG